rnacentral:lncRNA from 1 species
GCGGCGAUGUGGUGGCCCUCCAACCUCGUGCAGGUCUCCCUCUUCAGGUAUAUAGCACAAAUCUGCAAAAGUAAGACGCCUUUGAUUAGUUAUUACACACUGUAUAAUCAUCUAAAAGCCUCUCAAGCAGUAAUCAUCUCAAAAGAAAAGAAAAGAAAAGAAAAGAAAAAAAAGAAAAGAAAAGGAAAAUCUACACUGGACAUAGUAGUAUCCACGAUCAAUGUUAUGGUAAGUUAAGAGUAGUCUUAAACAAGUAAAAAGUAAAGCGGAAGUGUGGGACAUUGGCUCGACCAUUUUUUAGCAAGAGAUUUCCAAAGCAUCAAACGUUGUGGUGCAUUAUAAUUUAAUAUUAGUACUAUAUUGCAUGGAUAUAGUUGCUGAUAUCAUAUCAUGGUGCACCAACCACUAUAUUAGUAUCUUAUCAUUAUGCUGAAUCAUUUCAAUAAUCAAUAGAAAGCGGCUGGCCAGUGCAAGUCGCAAACAGCCAAGUAUGCAUCUCAAUAGACAAUAGCAAGGUUUGUUUAGGGUAUAAUUAAAGAUUGCGGACACAUGAUUUGUGCUUGCUUUGAUGCGUAGUAAGUAUAUAUCAAUACUGACAAGACAUUGUCUUGUAAAGAACUUCAGCACUGAAAUAUAACGUGAACAGAAAGUGCGUACCAAUUCAAAGCUUCAAAGGCACAACGACUAAUUCAUCGUCAGAUGCAGUCUCUGCAAGCAACAAUGGAUGAUUGAUAACAAUUAAAUUACAAGCUGCAAAAACCAACACCUGAAAGCUCGUGACAAUGGCAAUAUCCUGACUGCCGAGUCCUGAGUACUGCUAGUCAAUACACAUAUACCCA